UACAGAGGUGGCAAGCGUUGUUCGGAUUUAUUGGGCGUAAAGGGUCCGUAGGCGGACCGGAAAGUCGGGUGUGAAAUCCUGCGGCUUAACCGCAGAACUGCAUUCGAAACUCCUGGUCUAGAGUGUGAGAGGGGUGAAGGGAAUUCCCGGUGUAAGGGUGAAAUCUGCAGAGAUCGGGAAGAACACCAGUCGCGAAGGCGCUUCACUGGCUCACCACUGACGCUGAGGGACGAAAGCUAGGGGAGCGAACGGG
rnacentral:rRNA from 1 species